rnacentral:snoRNA from 1 species
GUGAUACGAAAUUUAUAGCCUUCUAUUCACUGUGCCAUCUUAGUAUCCGUAGAUGAUCAGAGGGGAAAAGAACGGCUAGACUAAUAUUGGCGCGAGCGUCCUCAUACUGUCCGAAUCGAAUAGCAUUGUCUGGGUUCGGUCGGUAACUGCGCAAGCGCUACAAAC